rnacentral:rRNA from 1 species
AGAGUUUGAUCAUGGCUCAGGACGAACGCUGGCGGCGCGCUUAACACAUGCAAGUCGAGCGAGAACCGGGGCUUCGGCCUCGGGGACAGCGGCGAACGGGUGAGUAACACGUGGAUAACCUGCCCUCGGCACCGGGAUAGCCCGGGGAAACCCGGAUUAAUACCGGAUGGCCCUUCCGACUCUCGAGUCGGUCGGAAAAGGUAGCUUCGGCCUCUGGCCGAGGAUGGGUCCGCGGCGGAUUAGCUUGUUGGUGGGGUAAUGGCCUACCAAGGCUCCGAUCCGUAGCUGGUCUGAGAGGACGAUCAGCCACACUGGGACUGAGACACGGCCCAGACUCCUACGGGAGGCAGCAGUGGGGAAUCUUGCGCAAUGGGCGAAAGCCUGACGCAGCGACGCCGCGUGAGGGAAGAAGGCCUUCGGGUUGUAAACCUCUUUCAGGAGGGACGAAGCUACUCGGGUGAAUAGCCCAGAGGGUGACGGUACCUCCAGAAGAAGCCCCGGCUAACUACGUGCCAGCAGCCGCGGUAAUACGUAGGGGGCAAGCGUUGUCCGGAUUUACUGGGCGUAAAGAGCGUGUAGGCGGCCAAACAGGUCCGUUGUGAAAACUGGAGGCUCAACCUCCAGACGUCGACGGAAACCGUAUGGCUAGAGUCCGGAAGAGGAGAGUGGAAUUCCUGGUGUAGCGGUGAAAUGCGCAGAUA